AACUACUUGCUGCAUUCUUUUUGGUUGUGCAGGAGACUCUACUAAUACUUUUCAAAGAUGCGUGGUUGUCUAAUCUUUUGGCAGCCAUUUUCAGGGGUGAGUGUAAACAUUGACUUGGGGGGCGUGGCUAACAGAAGCUUAGUUGGAUUUAAAGUGACAGAGGCCCUACAGCAGCUCAUUCUGAGAAAAGCACAAAACUAAA